rnacentral:rRNA from 1 species
GACGGAGGGUGCUAGCGUUGUUCGGAAUUACUGGGCGUAAAGGGCGCGUAGGCGGCCACCGCAAGUCGACUGUGAAAUCUCCGGGCUUAACCCGGAAAGGUCAGCCGAUACUGCGGGGCUAGAGUGCAGAAGGGGCAACUGGAAUUCUCGGUGUAGCGGUGAAAUGCGUAGAUAUCGAGAGGAACACCUGCGGCGAAGGCGGGUUGCUGGGCUGACACUGACGCUGAUGCGCGAAAGCUAGGGGAGCGAACGGG